rnacentral:rRNA from 1 species
UACGUAGGGUGCGAGCGUUAAUCGGAAUUACUGGGCGUAAAGUGUGCGCAGGCGGCCGCGCAAGUCGAGUGUGAAAGCCCCGAGCUUAACUUGGGAAUUGCGCUCGAAACUACGUGGCUGGAGUGUGGCAGAGGAAGGUGGAAUUCCACGUGUAGCGGUGAAAUGCGUAGAGAUGUGGAGGAACACCGAUGGCGAAGGCAGCCCUUCUGGGCCAACACUGACGCUCAUGCACGAAAGCGUGGGGAGCAAACAGG